rnacentral:lncRNA from 1 species
GAGGAGCUGAGAGGAAGAGUGGCUGUCGGACUUCUUAAAGCCGUGCACCAGGAGCUGGUGACCUUCAGAGAUGUGGCAGUAGACUUCCCCCAAGAGGAAUGGGGUUGCCUGAAUUCUUCUCAAAGGCAUUUGUACAGUUGUGUGAUGUUGGAGAACUAUAGAAUCCUGGUGUCUCUGGGCCUUUGCUUUUCUAAGCCAAGUGUAAUAUUCCUGUUGGAACAAGGGAAAGACCCAUGGACCGUGAAG